AAAGCCCAAUGACGUCUCCUGUUACUGUUUGUGUCAAAACACAGCGAUGGCAACAGGGAGGUCUUUUAUAAUGCAUGGUUUUUAUUUGUUUGACACGGAUUAACUCAUCGAUUAAAAAACGGAUCUAGGCUUAAUGUAAGAUCAUUUUGCCUCUGGUUAUUUUGGGUUUAUAGUGAGUGGCAUGCUAUCUGGAAGACCCUCGGCAGGAGAAGUGAAAGUCUGGCCGGAAAGUAGUAAAACAAAUACUGCUCCGUAUCACGUAUACAUUGCUUUGCUUAGUCCACCGCAUUGGAUGAAGUAGGUUUAGUUACCUGUUGCAAAUAUGGAGCUUUCCAUGUGCGCCAAUUACUUACCGAACCUUUUUUGCUCAAAAUGCUUGUUUUUCUUCUUCUUGAAAUUACAUGCUUUCUGAAUAUGCGAAGUCUCUGAUUUACCACAUUUUGCUAAGAAGUAAUUCAUAGGUCUCUAAUGGAAUGUGGAUUGCAUUGUGAUCUGAAGUAAACUUUUUGAAUUGCACAUUAGACUGACGGUUUGGUUGGGGUGAUGGACUAUUCUCUGGGGGCCAGCAGAAAAAGAAAAAAAUGUAAAAAUUUCGUUGUUUCGGGGACCUAAAAAAUGUAUAUUUAAAAUGAAUGUAUAGGUAAUCGUAGUUUGCUACAUAUGGUGUUCUAUCGGGAACUGAUGUGCGUAGACAAAAACAGCCAUCAUUUAUCCAAGCUGAGCGCUGAGGAUUCACUUUAACAGCAAACCUUUUAUAAACAGCACAGUAUAUAAUUGUCCGAAGGGAAUCACUUUGUUUGAAUCCAGUUUAAAAGAACAGCAUAAUUCGGGUGAAUGACUGCAGUGCGUUUUUGCCUGCGCACAAGUGCCAUUCAUUUAUUGCCAUGCUUCCUUUUGCUUGCCGUCAGAAACUUUCCAUGAGACAACUUAGCAAAAUUAGCAGCCAAACGUAUGUCAAAUAACACAGGAAAGCUGGGCCGGGAAAAUGUUCUCUAACUUUGUAAUUGGAGCUCUUUUGACUGGAAGUUCUUGAAUAUCAGGUUUUCUGUUUUAGAGUUGAUUUGAGAUUCUAUAUUGGGUAGGAAUUUGAAAUGCACGUCAGGUCAAGUCUUCCCCGUGAAACUGAAAUGAUGAUGACCAGGGAUCAGAACCAACUGCACAACAAAUGAUGCUUGCCAGGUGAGCAAGUUGGUCCACUGGUCAACGGCUUGAGUCCAUGGUUUAGGCCGUCAGGCAGUCCUCUACCACCACCCCUUGAGAUGAUGUAACCAUCGUAGCUGAGUCACAUGCAAAGGGCUUUGCUGCACUGUCCCUUUCUAAAUACCAACAGAAACCUCGGCUGACUAAUUGGAUUUAGACUCCAGCAUCGCAGUGAAACCACGCCAGUGAAAAACCAGUGUUAUGAUGCUGGUUGCACCUCUGAGUUUGACAUGAUUCAGAAAAUAAAGAACUAAUCACUGCAGGUAGCUGGAUUAGGAUUUUUUACACCAAAGGGUUAUAUGUCCUACAUUGCACCUAAAUUCUUAAAUUAAAAAUUAAUAAUGACCUGUGAGCAUUGUUGCUAGUAUAAUUUGUCUAGCUGUUGCUGUACUAAUUAAAAUUUGCAUAUUGCAAAUGGUCACUGCUUGGCUGAACCAACAACAGUAUUUAUGUAAAGCAGAGAUAUACAUUUGCAUAUCUAAAUGAAAUGAGGUUCACAUAAGCUUGUCCAUCCAUCCAUUUUCCAUACCCGGUUGACCUUUGCUGGCAUAUAAGCUUGUAUCUCACAUUUUUUAAGUUGCAAAGCGCAUAAAGAAUAAUAUUUUAGCAAGAUUAAGAAAGAACGCUUACCGUUUUACAUUCCUUUACGCAAUCAAAUUGUUCCUAAAUAAAAAUGAAAACCUGUUGAAAUCAGAUAUGUAACACACCGGUUUAUUAAGGCGUAAGCACUUAAUUGUCAUUGAAACUGUAGAUGCAUUCUGACAGGACAAGACUUCAGGGAAAAUGAGAAAUCUGUUCCUUUUGAUCUAGUCCUGCCGCGGUACUAGAUGAGCCAGGUGGCUUACAUUCUUUCUAGUGAUCCUUGGUGCUAAUGUUAACUUCCACACAACGGCUCUUGGUCAAAUCGCGACAUGAAGACGCACGUCAUAUCGUAACAAGAGUUACCCACGCAUUUAGCUAUUCCUGUGAAUCAACUAAUUCUUGUGCCAUCUCUCACCUCCAUGUCAGGAGGUCUGUGGUUUUCCUGAUAAAAGCGAGCCUCUGUUGGUUCCAUACGGUGAUGAGUUACGUCUGCCUGUGCAGAAAUUACACAAAUUAGUUGUCGCUGUUUUCUAAUCUGGUGAUCGGAAACAAGAGAAUAUUGAUAAUGAAAAUUGACUUUUCCAUCGGGCAGAGCGUCUUGGCUGCAGGUUUUUCCUCAUGAUGUAACGGCCCACAAUAGUUUCCAACUUACACUAUUGAAUGCUUCCUAAUGCAGCAUGGAUCUGGUUUAUAAAUAUCCUUUAAUUAUGAUAAAUAUCAUAUUGUGACUAUGUUGACUUUAAUACAGUGGCUUAGUCAUGGUUCAUAUCCUCAUGAUAUUCUGCAAAGCCGGGAGACCAAAUAUAGAAAUACCACUAUAUUCUAGAUCUACUUUCUGGCACACACAGAUGUACAUUGAUGAUUUAGCAAAUAAAACAGAAUUAUUUGUGUCUGACAUUAUUAUACCUAGGUAGGCUCUCACUUGCAAAAGAAUAUAAGGUUAGUUUAAAACACUUAGUUAGUUUGAAACGUUUGAACUAUGUCAACCUUCCCUCAAUCAAAACUGGAGAUGACGUAUAUCAUUUAUAUACUUAUCUGUAGUGCUUCUACUGAGACAUGUAGCUCAAUAUAGCAACAAUCUAGCAUUUUUGACCCUGGCCAGUGCAGUCAGUAAAUAUUCACCAUUUGUGUCACGGUGGCUUUUGGAAACUCAUGUUUUUGCACUUCGUGGUAAAUCGGCAGAGCGAAAUGACAGACUUGGUCAAUUCCCGGAGAUGUUGUAAUCUUUUGAACAUGGUGUCUGCAAAGCAGGGAGGCUUUGAAGUCCAGUAUACAGGCAGUACUGGGAGGUCAGGUACACACUAAUGACGCAGUGCUCAUUCCAGACUGGCACCAGCAGGGGAACACAGUGUACCUCUGCGAAGACCCAGAAUAGGUCCUGAUCCAGUAGAAUGAAUGCGAAAGCAUCCUGUCAGUCUGCUAGCAUGUAUGUUAGGUAUUUGGUACCGAUGCAUAAUUAAAACAGGGGUUUCAAAACUAUUAAAAUAACACACUUUUAUUAACUUAGAUAAAUGGAUAAGAUAAUAAAUUACCACAAAUGUGUGAUUAAGCCUUGGUGUCUUUACCAUACAGUAUAGCAAUUCUAUUAUGAAAUAAAGAUAGAUAAACAAAAAAUCAAUCCAUGGGCUGUUUGAAGCAGAGUUUGUAGGACAUAGUGUCCUAACAGGACUGUACUUUUGCAGGUUUAUUUUUACUAAACAUUUUUCAAGUUUCUUUUAUCCUGGACGUAGCAUCUGUGCAGUUUACAGCGCUCUGGACCUGGAAUUUGCUGGAGCAAUGGCCCACUCUGGAGGGGCUGGAGUGUUUACAGGCUCCGCGGUGGAUCCUGGCCAGGCCUACGGCGUGCCUGCUUUCCUGGCUCCGGCGCUUGCGUCACGCUGGGCCCAACGACGUCAGCGCUCGGCGGAGGAGAGAGAUCCAGCAGGCCCACCGGCCGCACUGGCCUCUGUCUGCUGUGGGAUUCCACCGCCGCUUUAACCAGGAGGGGAAAUGGACAGCGGCCAUACUUCCUCGUCACAUGGUGCCGCCCAGUCAGAGAUCCAGCAGGGAGGAGAGGGGCUGCUGAGAGCCUGUAUCCCAGCUAUGUCCAUGUGUAAACCCCCCCCGACUUGGCACUGCUGUCCGGGCCCCAGACUAGGCAGGCUGUUUUUAAUCAGCAACUUGGACGUCCGGAGCAAAACAAACAGUGCCGGCCACGAAGUCUGGUGUCCGCGCAGCAGAGGAAAUGAGAGCUGGGUACAACACAUGGGCCGACCGGGGGAGACGCCUGAUGUCACCAGCCCGGCCCGGAUUAGAAACCUCUAAAACAGAAAGAAGGCUCACCGGGCCUCCCGUAUGCUUACAGCACACGUUCCACACGUAGGUCCAAAGCAAGGACUUGCUCCAUUCAAGAGUAGCACAGCUACGGAAGGACUCCACUACAGAGUUAAAUACUAUUAUGUGUUGAUAGCUACAGCUUCAUGCCAUCAUUGUUUAGGGCGGCCUUCCAGUUUUUCCUUAAUCCCAUUCUUAAUUCGGCACAACAAAGAAUACAAUAAAAAGGAUGGUGGAUUGUGUAACCAUCAAACGUUA